rnacentral:rRNA from 1 species
AUUGAACGCUGGCGGCAGGCCUAACACAUGCAAGUCGAGCGAGCGGCGGACGGGUGAGUAAUGUAUGGGGACUGCCCGAUCGGGGGGGAUCACUACUGGAAACGGUCGCUAAUACCGCAUACUAUCGGAUAACCCAUAUGGGAUUGGCUAGUAGGUGGGGUAAAGGCUCACCUAGGCGACGAUCUCCAGCUGGUCUGAGGGGAUGACAGGCACCACUGGGAUUGAGACACGGCCCAGAUUCCUCCGGAGGCAGCAGUGGGGAAUAUUGCACAAGGGGCGCAAGCCGGAUGCAGCCAUGCCGCGUGUAUGAAGAAGGCCUUAGGGUUGUAAAGUACUUUCAGCGGGGAGGCGUUACCCGCAGAAGAAGCACCGGCUAACUCCGUGCCAGCAGCCGCGGUAAUAC